CGGACUGGCCCAGGGAGGUCGGCAACGACCACCCAGGGCCGGAAAGUUAUCCAAACUCGGUCAUUUAGAGGAAGUAAAAGUCGUAACAAGGUCUCCGUUGGUGAACCAGCGGAGGGAUCAUUACAGAGUUAUCUAACUCCCAAACCCAUGUGAACUUACCUUUGUUGCCUCGGCAGAAGCUACCUGUACCCUUCUGGGACAGCCUACCUGGACCUACCUGGAACGGCUACACUGGAUCGACCUACCUGUAGCGCACUGCCGGUGGACCAUUCAACUCUUGUUAUUUUAUUGUAAUCUGAGCGUCUUAUUUUAAUAAGUCAAAACUUUCAACAACGGAUCUCUUGGUUCUGGCAUCGAUGAAGAACGCAGCGAAAUGCGAUAAGUAAUGUGAAUUGCAGAAUUCAGUGAAUCAUCGAAUCUUUGAACGCACAUUGCGCCCACUAGUAUUCUGGUGGGCAUGCCUGUUCGAGCGUCAUUUCAACCCUUAAGCCUAGCUUAGUAUUGGGAAUCUACUGUAUUGUAGUUCCUCAAAUCCAACGGCGGAUCUGUGGUAUCCUCUGAGCGUAGUAAAUUUUUAUCUCGCUUUUGUCAGGUGCUGCAGCUCCCAGCCGCUAAACCCCCAAUUUUUAAUGGUUGACCUCGGAUCAGGUAGGAAUACCCGCUGAACUUAAGCAUAUC
rnacentral:misc_RNA from 1 species